ensembl:lncRNA
GGGUUAUCCUGCCCCCUUUUUAGUGAUAUCAUUCAGACAAUAGCCUGCUGCCCUGGGCACGGGGCCAGCAGAGGAGAGGAGCCUGCCUUCUUCUCUAACUUCUUCAGCUUUCUGCUUACCAAGUCCUCUGUGUCACUGAAUGCCAAAGCAACAGGCAUUGCUGCCCGCGAGGGUAUUGCCAGAGCUGCUCUUCUAACUAAGCUUCUCAGAGUUGCAACUGCUAAUAUGCCCUGGAUAGUCCAGGGCUCUGAAACCCAUUGUUUACCAACAAAAAACAGCCAGGCUACAAAACACUACAUGUGGCUUAAAUGGAGAAGGGCCUAGAAAAGAGGCCCUUGAUGUAAAGUUAAACAUAGUUUUCUACUCAGCAAAUAGCCUUUUGUACCCAUUCUCCUGCUUUGACAGAACAGAAACAAAACAAAACAAUUACUGUCAGAUAACAACUGCAAAAAAAAAAAAAAAUCCAAAUCUCAUGGAACUUCUAUAGUGCUUUUACUGUAACUCUGUUUGAAAUUAUUGUUUUAGGGUUUAUUAAUAUUUCCAGUGAAAGAUCCAAUAUGGAAACACCCCCAUCUGCACAGAGUUUAUGCACAGUACUGCACAGUACUUUAUGGUUUCAAAAGCAGCACACUAACAGCAACUUUGACUUUCAAUGCUAGGUGUUUUGGAGACUUAUCUCUCAGAUGGAGGUUUUAAAAGUUGGGGGGCCAGAUGUGGGGCUCGAACCCUUUGCUCUUCAGGGAGAAGCUUAGGUUUGUGAAUUCCCUCCUGAUUGUAGGUCACUGUGCUGGGGGUGGAGUUUAUUGUAUCUCAGCCUCUCUUACGACUUCACUGUGGUUUUUUUCUUGUUUGCCCCACAUGUAGGAGUUGUUCAGGCACUUUUUGUUUUUGUUUUUAUUUUUCCAGAGGAAGUGGUUCCAUCUGUACCUAUUGAUUCUAUGUGUCCAUGCAAGGAGGUGAGAUCAGGAUCUUCCUACAUUGCCAUCUUGAACUGGUCUCAUAGCAACUUUGAGAAGAAGGAUAUGCAAAUUAGUGAAGGGGUUUCCAGAACAUCAGUGUUUAGAAUCAAAGAGUGGGCCUAAGCAUGACCUGAGCAAAACAAUUUUCAGAAACUCCUUUGAAUGUCUGGUAAGUGGUGACACUGGCCAUCAGACACCAGUUUAGAUGGAU